AGUGAACGCUGGCGGUAGGCCUAACACAUGCAAGUCGAACGGCAGCACAGUAAGAGCUUGCUCUUACGGGUGGCGAGUGGCGGACGGGUGAGGAAUACAUCGGAAUCUACUUUUUCGUGGGGGAUAACGUAGGGAAACUUACGCUAAUACCGCAUACGACCUACGGGUGAAAGCAGGGGAUCUUCGGACCUUGCGCGAUUGAAUGAGCCGAUGUCGGAUUAGCUAGUUGGCGGGGUAAAGGCCCACCAAGGCGACGAUCCGCAGCUGGUCUGAGAGGAUGAUCAGCCACACUGGAACUGAGACACGGUCCAGACUCCUACGGGAGGCAGCAGUGGGGAAUAUUGGACAAUGGGCGCAAGCCUGAUCCAGCCAUACCGCGUGGGUGAAGAGGGCCUUCGGGUUGUAAAGCCCUUUUGUUGGGAAAGAAAAGCAGCAGGUUAAUACCCCGCUGUUCUGACGGUACCCAAAGAAUAAGCACCGGCUAACUUCGUG
rnacentral:rRNA from 1 species